CAGUCGCCGCGGGAAUACGAAGGGUGCAAGCGUUAAUCGGAAUUACUGGGCGUAAAGCGUGCGUAGGCGGUGAGUUAAGUCUGCUGUGAAAUCCCCGGGCUCAACCUGGGAAUGGCGGUGGAUACUGGCUCGCUAGAGUGUGUCAGAGGAUGGUGGAAUUCCCGGUGUAGCGGUGAAAUGCGUAGAGAUCGGGAGGAACAUCAGUGGCGAAGGCGGCCAUCUGGACAAAGACUGACGCUCAGGUGCGAAAGCGUGGGGAGCAAACAGGAUUAGAUACCCGCGUAGUCCCUGUCUCUUAUAC
rnacentral:rRNA from 1 species